AACGAACGCUGGCGGCAGGCCUAACACAUGCAAGUCGAACGGGACCUUCGGGUCUAGUGGCGGACGGGUGAGUAACGCGUGGGAACGUGCCCUUUGGUUCGGAAUAGCCCUGGGAAACUGGGAGUAAUACCGGAUACGGUCGAGAGACGAAAGAUUUAUCGCCGAAGGAUCGGCCCGCGUUGGAUUAGGUAGUUGGUGGGGUAAUGGCCUACCAAGCCGACGAUCCAUAGCUGGUUUGAGAGGAUGAUCAGCCACACUGGGACUGAGACACGGCCCAGACUCCUACGGGAGGCAGCAGUGGGGAAUCUUAGACAAUGGGGGAAACCCUGAUCUAGCCAUGCCGCGUGAGCGAUGAAGGCCUUAGGGUAGUAAAGCUCUUUCAGUGGGGAAGAUAAUGACGGUACCCACAGAAGAAGCCCCGGCUAACUCCGUGCCAGCCGCCGCCGUAACAC
rnacentral:rRNA from 1 species